UACGUAGGUGACAAGCGUUGUCCGGAUUUACUGGGCGUAAAGAGCGCGCAGGCGGUCGUUCAAGUCGAGUGUGAAAGCCCCCGGCUCAACUGGGGAGGGUCAUUCGAUACUGAUCGACUCGAAGGCAGGAGAGGGUAGUGGAAUUCCCGGUGUAGUGGUGAAAUGCGUAGAUAUCGGGAGGAACACCAGUGGCGAAGGCGACUACCUGGCCUGCUCUUGACGCUGAGGCGCGAAAGCUAGGGGAGCAAACGGGG
rnacentral:rRNA from 1 species